rnacentral:tRNA from 1 species
GUCCUUAUAGCUUACGACUAAAGCACAGCUCUGAAGAUGCUAAGAUGGCGCCCAAGCGCCUAAGGACA